rnacentral:ncRNA from 2 species
UUCUUAUCAAGAGAGGUAGAGGGAAUGGCCCUGUGACGCCUCAGCAACCUUCAAUGAAGUAAUUCAUUGAAAAGGUGCUAAGUCCUGCAAAUUACCAUUAAUAAUUUGCGAGAUAAGAA